CCGUAGCAAUACGGAUGGCGCACGGCGCACGGGUGCGUAACACGUGGGUAACCUGCCCUCCAAAGGGGGAUAACCCCGCGAAAGCGGGGCUAAUACCGCAUGACAUUCCGAAGACUUCGGUAUUUGGAAUCAAAGCCCGUAAGGGCGUUGGGGGAGGGGCCCGCGGCCGAUUAGCUUGUUGGCGAGGUAACGGCUCACCAAGGCAAUGAUCGGUAGCCGGUCUGAGAGGAUGGCCGGCCACACUGGAACUGAGACACGGUCCAGACUCCUACGGGAGGCAGCAGUGGGGAAUCUUGCGCAAUGGGCGAAAGCCUGACGCAGCGACGCCGCGUGGGGGAUGAAGCUUCUCGGAGUGUAAACCCCUUUCGACCCGGACGAAACGCCCGUAAGGGCUUGACGGUACGGGUAUAAGAAGCCCCGGCUAACUACGUGCCAGCAGCCGCGGUAAGACGUAGGGGGCCAGCGUUGCUCGGAAUUACUGGGCGUAAAGGGUUCGUAGGCGGUGCGGCAAGUCGGAAGUGAAAUCCCUGGGCUUAACUCAGGGGCUGCUCCCGAAACUGCCGUGCUUGAGUGCGGGAGAGGCCAGUGGAAUUGCAGGUGUAGCGGUGAAAUGCGUAGAUAUCUGCAGGAACACCCGUGGCGAAGGCGGCUGGCUGGACCGCAACUGACGCUGAGGAACGAAAGCUAGGGGAGCAAACAGGAUUAGAUACCCUGGUAGUCCUAGCCCUAAACGAUCAGGACUUGGGGUGCAUCCCGUUGGGGAUGCGUCCCGUAGCUAACGCGUUAAGUCCUGCGCCUGGGGAGUAC
rnacentral:rRNA from 1 species